GAAAUGCGAUAAGUAAUGUGAAUUGCAGAAUUCAGCGAAUCAUCGAAUCUUUGAACGCACAUUGCGCCUCCGGGUAUUCCUGGAGGCAUGCUUGUUCGAGCGUCGUUAAAGACCAUAAGGCUUUGCCUUGCGAUGAGCUAUCGGUUUUUCUAUUGUUUUGAACAAUAAAAGAGUCGAUGGCUUCAAACUGAUUGGCGUCUGAAGUUUAGCCCAAGCACAGCAAAAUGUGUCUGAAAGCUAGAUGAGAAAAGACUUUGCCUUGUACACCAAAUUUUAUACAAAGGUCGACCUCGGAUCAAGCAAGAUUACCCGCUGAACUUAA
rnacentral:misc_RNA from 1 species